rnacentral:ncRNA from 1 species
AAAGACUUAGUCCUAACCUUACUGUUGGUUUUUGCUAGAUAUAUACAUGCAAGUAUCCGCGCCCCAGUGUAAAUGCCCCAGGCGACCAACAAGCCUGCAGGAGCGGGCAUCAGGCACACUCCACAAGUAGCCCAAGACGCCUUGCGCAGCCACACCUCCACAGGUCUACAGCAGUAAUUAAUAUUAAGCAAUGAGUGCAAACUCGACUUAGUCAUAGCAAAUCUUAGGGUCGGUAAAUCUUGUGCCAGCCACCGCGGUUAGACAAGGGACCCAAAUUAACAGUCAAACGGCGUAAAGAGUGGUCACAUGUUAUCAGAGUAGCUAAGAUUAAAAUGCAGCUGAGCUGUAAUAAGCCCAAGAUGCCCAUAAGGCCAACCCCAAAGAAGAUCUUAGAACCACGAUUAAUUGAAAUCCACGAAAGCCAGGGCCCAAACUGGGAUUAGAUACCCCACUAUGCCUGGCCCUAAAUAUUGAUGUUUUCCUUUACCUGAACAUCCGCCCGGGAACUACGAGCACAAACGCUUAAAACCCUAAGGACUUGGCGGUGUCCCAAACCCACCUAGAGGAGUCUGUUCUGUAAUCGAUGAUCCACGAUAUACCCGACCAUUCCUUGCAAGAUCAGCCUAUAUACCGCCGUCGUCAGCUCACCCUCUCUGACGGUCCAACAGUGAGCGCAAUAGUCCUAACCCACUAAAAAGACAGGUCAAGGUGUAGCCUAUGGAAUGGAAGCAAUGGACUACAUUUUCUAGUAUAGAACAUAACGGAUGGGGGAUUGAAAUAUCCCUCGGAAGGCGGAUUUAGCAGUAAAGUGGGACCAUCAUGCCCUCUUUAAACUGGCUCUGGGACACGUACAUACCGCCCGUCACCCUCCUCAAAAGUGCCCAACAACCCCAUACCUAAUAAGCUAGACAACCGAAGAGGAGGUAAGUCGUAACAAGGUAAGUGUACCGGAAGGUGUACUUAGAACACAC